rnacentral:lncRNA from 1 species
GUACAUCACAUGCAUUGCUUAUGUUGCACCUGUCGCCUCGUUAAAAACCUUGCAUGAGAAAACCCGGUGGGAAAAACUCAUCAAGGAAAAAAGAGUACGACAGUUGAUGUUCGAGUCGGUCUUCAGGACCGACUUGUGAUCUUCAGGACCAUAGUCAUGGGUUAUAAUCUUUGGGGUUGGUCUCCCCCUGAACCCUGCAACUCUCUAAGCCGCCUCACACUUGUUCCAUGGACACACUUAUAGAAGCUAGAGGUGGGUAGAGAUUUUGUGAAAAGAUC